rnacentral:lncRNA from 1 species
AUAACAACAACAUAAUAGAUUAAAAAACAUCAUCAACAAUCACAAACCAUAGUAAUAAGAACAAUAAUUGAAGAGGAAAAAAUCACAUAUUAACAAUCAUAAACCAAUUAAAACAACAAUUACAAUAAAAAAUACUUCUAGAGCACAGAGGUGAGGGAGCACGACAGAAGGAUGGACGCAGCAAAACUGGAGAAGAGAUGGCCUAUACCACCACAGAACUAGAGAAGAGGUGGCCUGGUCUGUCGUAGAACUGGAGCCGAGGAGGGUGGUGCACGGAAAAACUAGAGUAGAUAAGGGUGGGGCGCAGCGGAAUUUGGAGCAGAGGAGGGUGUAGCGUGGCGGAACUAGAGCAGAGAAGGGCUAGAGCACAGCAAAACAAAGCCGACACGGCGAAACAAUGGCUACGUGACAGAGGAAUGAUGCGAGCCAAGAUAUAGUGGGAACGGCGACUUCGAGCAGUGGCGGAGACAAGUGUAAUGGGGAUGCCAACUUCGAGUAGUUGCGAUGGUAGCUGGACAGAGCAAGUGAUGGGAUUUUUCUAUUGUUGAGGAGCUCGAGAGGAUGGAAAUGCUGAAGUGCUGAACUGCUAAGCUUAGGGCUACCUUUUAACUAAUCUCAGGCUAUUGGACGGCAUCGUUGCCUUUUCAAAUCUAAAAAUUGGCCAGGUCCUGGUUCGGUUUGGCCAGGCGGUUCUUGACCGAUUCAGCGAUCCAAAAGCAACUUUUAGAGCAGCAAUUUUUCUUGAUUAACCGAACUGUAGAUGAUUCCAGUUUUCGGUCGGACCGGUCCAAAUAAUAAUGAAGAAAAGGAAAGAUAGAGAUAUGAUUUAGGAGGCUAUCCCUAUAUGGAAUCUUGUUCUAUACAAAUUCCUAAAUGACUCCUCUCUAACACUUUAUUUUCUUUCUUCUAAUAAAAUUGUUCAUGUCUCAUGGAUUCUUUCCACUCUUCUACCAGUUGUCCUAUUGUUAUAUAGUUGGUUUCACUUGAUUCUUUCCCUCGUUACUCUUUCUUACGCCUCCUGCUGUAAAUAAAACACACUGAAGAAGAGAGAACUUGGAGCAUAGAAUGAGUGGCUGAAUUAUUGAGUUCCACUCACAACACAGUGCAAAAUAAAGAAGAGACGG